UGGAAGAUAACACCGAUGCAAACAUGGAAGGGGCUCUGAUAGCCCGCGACAGAGUCGGGGUGCAGGACUUCGUGCUUCUGGACUCCCACACCAGUGAGACUGCUUUCCUGAACAACCUCCGCAAGCGAUACCAGGAGAACCUCAUCUAUACCUACAUUGGUACUCUUCUUGUAUCUGUCAACCCUUACAAAGAGCUGGAUAUCUACACAGUGACACAGAUGCAGCUUUAUCGAGGGGUAAACUUUUUUGAACUGCCACCACAUCUAUAUGCCAUAGCUGACAACGCCUACCGGGUGAUGUGCAGCGAGUACAACAACCAUUUCAUCCUCAUCUCUGGCGAGAGCGGAGCUGGGAAGACAGAAGCAUCCAAGAAGAUCUUGCAGUAUUACGCAGUAACCUGUCCAACUACGGAGCAGCUGCAGAUCGUCCGUGAUCGUCUGCUACUUUCCAAUCCUGUUCUCGAGGCUUUUGGAAAUGCAAAAACUCUGCGUAAUGACAACUCAAGUAGAUUUGGGAAAUACAUGGAUAUCCAGUUUGAUUUUAAGGGGGCUCCAGUCGGAGGGCACAUCCUCAGUUACCUCAUUGAGAAAUCCAGAGUUGUCCACCAGAACCACGGAGAAAGGAAUUUCCAUAUUUUCUACCAGUUAUUAGAGGGUGGAGACAAGGAUCUUCUAUGCUGGCUUGGGCUGGAGCGCAACCCCCAGAAGUACGCCUAUCUCAUCCAGGGUCGAUGUGCCAAAGUGUUUUCUAUUAAUGACAAGAAUGACUGGAAAAUAGUCCGCAAAGCUUUUUCUAUCAUUGACUUUACCGAAAAAGAUAUAGAGCAUCUCUUUGGAAUUGUUGCUAGUGUCCUGCACCUCGGGAACAUUCAGUUUGAAGAAGAUAGCAAUGGACAUGCCAUCAUUCGUGAUGGCACGCAGAUCAAAUGGAUUUCAAAGCUACUGGGUGCGCACUUGUCCAUUCUGCAGGAAGCUCUCACCCAUCGGAAGAUCGAAGCCAGAUCCGAAGAGGUCCUAAGCCCAUUGAAUGUGGAUCUGGCAUUCUAUGCUCGGGAUGCAGUAGCAAAGGCGAUUUACGGACGAACUUUCACUUGGCUAGUCAACAAAAUUAAUGGCUCUCUAGCCAACAAGGAUUCAACUCGGAAAACAGUUAUCGGCCUGCUGGAUAUCUAUGGUUUCGAAGUGCUGGACACGAACAGCUUUGAGCAGUUCUGCAUUAAUUACUGCAAUGAGAAGCUCCAGCAGCUGCUGAUUGAGAUGACCUUGAAAGCAGAGCAGGAGGAGUAUGAACUGGAAGGAAUAGAGUGGGAACCAAUUCCAUAUUUUAAUAACAAGAUCAUCUGUGACCUGGUUGAGCAGAAGCAUAAAGGAAUAAUCUCCAUUCUGGAUGAAGAAUGCUUACGACCUGGCGAAGCAACUGAUUUGAGCUUCUUGGAAAAGCUGGAAGAGAAAGUAGGAGAUCACGCCCACUUCGUGACUCGCAAGCUCGCAGACCAGAAAACACGGAAAUCCAUUGACUGGGUGGAUUUCCGCCUCCUUCACUAUGCAGGAGAAGUCACUUACUGUGCUGUUGGAUUUCUGGAAAAGAAUAAUGAUCUCCUGUACAGAAACCUGAAAGAGGUGCUCUGCAACUCUAAAAACGGCAUCAUCAGAGACUGCUUUUUACUGUCAGAGCUGGACAACAGGAGGAGACCAGAGACUGUUGCAACCCAGUUCAAAAACAGUCUGACAAGUCUUAUAGAAAUCCUGAUGUCCAAGGAGCCUUCUUACGUCCGAUGCAUUAAACCAAAUGAGAAUAAGGAGCCUGGGAAGUUUGAUGAUUAUCUGAUCCGACAUCAGGUGAAGUACCUGGGUCUGAUGGAGCACUUGCGGGUGAGACGAGCUGGCUUCGCGUAUCGGCGGAAGUAUGAACUCUUCUUGCAAAGGUAUAAAUCUCUGUGUCCAGCUACCUGGCCACAUUGGCAUGGGCCAGCAGCUGAGGGUGUGGAGAGGCUCAUCAAGCAUAUUGGUUACAAGCCUGAGGAAUACAAAUUAGGAAGAACCAAAAUAUUCAUUCGGUUCCCAAAGACUCUGUUUGCUACCGAAGAUGCAUUUGAAUUCAGAAAGCACCUGUUAGUUUCAAGGCUACAGGCCAAAUACAAAGGAUGCCUUGGAAAGAGAGAGUACAAGAAGAAGAGAGAAGCAGCUAUCAAGCUGGAGGCUUGUUGGCGAGGAGCACUGGCACGGAAGGAGGCCAAGAAGAGGACGUGGGCGGUUCAGAUAAUCAGGAAAUUCAUAAAUGGCUUCAUCAAUCGGAAGAAACCCCUCUGUCCAGAGAACACUGAAUUUGUGCAGCUUGUGCAGUACAACUACUUGAUGAAGCUCAGGGACCACAUUCCAAAAAAUGUCUUGGACAAGAGCUGGCUCCAACCUCCUUCCAUCCUGGAAGAGACGUCCGAGAUGCUACAGAAAAUCUGCAUGAGGAACCUAGUAAGGAAAUACUGCCGAGGUGUUACUGCCGAGAGGAAAGUGCAGUUACAGCAGAAAGUGGUAGCAAGUGCUGUCUUCAGAGGGAAGAAGGAGGGCUACCUGCAGAGCAUAAACCAGCCUUUCGUGGACACCCGGCUGAAAGAGAAUGAUAUAAACCCCAAAGUACUGCAGCUCAUCCACGGUGAGAAGAUCAAGUACGUGACCCCCGUGAUAAAAUAUGACAGGAAUGGGUUCAAAGCACGAGACCGGCUACUUGUUCUGACCCAGUCCUCGGCAUACGUGGUGGAAAUGGCCAAGAUCAAGCAGAAAAUAGACUACGCCACUCUGAAAGGUAUUUCCACCAGUAACCUGAGCGAUGGGAUUGUAGUCAUUCAUGUUCCCGAGGACAACAAACAGAAGGGAGAUGUGAUACUUCAGUGUGAGCACAUCUUUGAGACCGUCACUAAACUCUGCAUGCUGGCCAAUAAGCAAAACCUCGUUAAAGUUGUGCAGGGGAGUCUCCAGUUUCGCAUUGGCUCUGGGAAGGAAGGGACAAUGGUGUUCACCGUUGGGCAGGAGCCUCAGGUCUUUAAAGCCAAAACCGGACACCUAACAGUGAGCGGUGCAUGACACAGUUACCCAGUCACUGUCUACCUACAUAACAUAAUGCAUGCUAGAGCUACGUCACAUAAUGCACACUAGAUGGUCAUCGCUGUGCUGGGAGUUGCAGCUACGCACCUUGCAUGUGUCAACCCAGGCAAAGUCUUGAUGGGAAACAGUUCCUGUUCCUGUCUUGGUUAGGAACAGAAAGGAGCCUGCAGGAUCAGACCAGCACACAUCUCCUCUGGAAUCUUUGAUGCCAUAGGGCUGCUGUGAUUUGAGAGUUUGCUUGCAUCUUUUAGGCUCUUUUUUAUAGCUUGAAACCAUUCAACUAUAGCUAAAUAAAUUCCAUUAUGUUGCUGUAAUAGUCCAGUGAGCAUAGAGGCUUGUUACAUGCUGUCACAGGGAAAGGUUUAAACCAAACGUAAACUGUCCAUCGCUGUGCACUCAGUAAGAGCUGAGAGCUCUGACCAGUCAGGAAGGAUUAAGGUAGAAGCCAAAAGGCUUCUCUAGUUGUACUCUGGGUCACAACUUGCCAGGAGCCCUGCAUCAAAUGCAGAUCAAUGAAGUUAACUCUGGUCUGAAAACCCCUUUUCUCUCAGGCAGACUGGCAAAGCUGUUAACACCAGCAGCUCGUUGUUCAGCACAUGGAGAGAUGGGGUGUAGGCAUCACCGUUUCCUUGAGGUACGCAGGGAGAGGGUGGAAGUUGGGGAUGCUGCGGCUCAUGUUGAGGCAGUGCUCACACUGCUCCCUCAUGUUGAGGCAAACUUGUGAGGCUCCAGCUUGCUUUGGCCAAGCUGAAGCUACACGCUGAGGAUCCUGGGCUUGCUGCCUUUACCUCCUGGCUCUUGGGCCUCUGCAGCCCCCAGGAUUUAAAACUAACAGCAGGGGCAGGGUGAUGGUUGGUGUUUCUUCCUGAAAGUGCCUCCUGGCUCUAUGGACCAUGAG